GAUUUCUGGUAAAAAUCAGCAUAUCACAAUAUAGUCUCAGCCCGGACUGUGAAGCUUCCAGAUGUUCCUUCUGAUGAGUAGACAAAUGGGACAGCCGAAAAACUAUAUAACACUUACAAGGUGGCCACCUAGUAAUCAGCACAAGUUAGAAUGUGGGCAACUCGGCAGUCAUUGCGCAGGCACUUUGGUGACUCUAGAUAACCUUGGGCCAAUCACACGUCCGCGUGACGGCAAUGACGCAUUCGGAUGUCUGCCAUAUCAACUUUCAAAGGUACUUUCUGUGCUUACCAUGGUGACCACGGGUAAAGGGGAAUCAGGGUUCGAUUCCAGAGAGGGAGCCUGAGAAACGGCUACAACAUCAAAGGAAGGCAGCAGGCACGCAAAUUACCCACUUCCGACGCAGGGAGGUAGUGACGAAAAAUAACAAUACAGGACUGUUUCGAGGCCCUGUAAAUGAAAUAAGUACACUUUAAAUCCUUUAACGAGGAUCUAUUGGAGGGCAAGUCUGGUGCAGAGCGACUGACCCGUGCGUGCUGCAGCUGAAACUCCACU